GAAAGCUCUGACCAGCAGUCUUCUGUCUGUGAAACAGAGACAUUCUUCCAUUUAUCUCCUUCCAGUAUUCCUGUAAGUCCAGAGGACAACAGGACCUCAGGCAAGAGAAACAGAGGUAACACCAAUAACAGUACCUACAGAUGCGUGCAGUUGAUAAAGCAUCUUGCUCUGCAGGCUUAGUGAAGUCUCUUAGGACAGCAGGACUGUGAGAACAGCUCAGUCCCACAGGAUAUCGCCGAAAGCCCAGACCAACCCAGCUCAAACCUCUCUACAGACAUGCUGAGCAUCCCUGUUGGUACUAUCUGGAGAAAACCCACGUCCACUACAAAUGGAUCUACAAAUCCUCCUGGGAGCCCCCAUUUUCCUUCCAGAACAUUCUAUGACAUGGGGAGCCUGCACCUUUACGUCACCAGGCACUGUCC